GAGCGCGAAAGUUUUCGGAUGAGUAGAGCGGCGAACGGGUGAGUAACGCGUGGGAAUCUGCCUGGUAAUGGGGGACAACAUCUCGAAAGGGAUGCUAAUACCGCAUACGCCCUAAGGGGGAAAGUGGGGGAUCUUCGGACCUCACGUUAUCAGAGGAGCCCGCGUCGGAUUAGCUAGUAGGUAGGGUAAAGGCCUACCUAGGCGACGAUCCGUAACUGGUCUGAGAGGAUGAUCAGUCACACUGGAACUGAGACACGGUCCAGACUCCUACGGGAGGCAGCAGUGGGGAAUAUUGGACAAUGGGGGCAACCCUGAUCCAGCCAUGCCGCGUGUGUGAAGAAGGCCUUCGGGUUGUAAAGCACUUUAAGUUGGGAGGAAGGCUUCACGGAUAAUACCUGUGAGGAUUGACGUUACCAACAGAAUAAGCACCGGCUAACUCCGUGCCAGCAGCCGCGGUAAUACGGAGGGUGCAAGCGUUAAUCGGAAUUACUGGGCGUAAAGCGCGCGUAGGCGGCCAUUUAAGCUAGAUGUGAAAGCCCAGGGCUUAACCUUGGAACUGCAUUUAGAACUGGAUGGCUAGAGUAUGGAAGAGGAGUGUGGAAUUUCAGGUGUAGCGGUGAAAUGCGUAGAGAUCUGAAGGAACAUCAGUGGCGAAGGCGACACUCUGGUCCAAUACUGACGCUGAGGUGCGAAAGCGUGGGGAUCAAACAGGAUUAGAUACCCUGGUAGUCCACGCCCGUAAACGAUGUCGACUAGCCGUUGGCCUCCUUGAGGGGUUAAUGGCGCAGCUAACGCGAUAAGUCGACCGCCUGGGGAUUCCGGCCCCAAGGUUAAACCUCAAAUGAUUUGACCGGGGGGCCCCCCACAAACGGUGGAACCAUGUGGUUUUAAUUUCGACCCCAACCCCGAAAAACCUUACCUA
rnacentral:rRNA from 1 species